UACGUAGGGGGCAAGCGUUGUCCGGAAUCAUUGGGCGUAAAGAGCGUGUAGGCGGCCAGAAAGUCCGCUGUGAAAACUCGAGGCUCAACUCGAGCUCGUCGGUGAAACUUCUGGCUAGAGUCCGGAAGAGGAAAGUGGAAUUCCUGGUGUAGCGGUGAAAUGCGCAGAUAUCAGGAAGAACACCGGUGGCGAAAGCGCUCUGCUAGGCCGCAACUGACACUGAGGGGCGAAAGCUAGGGGAGCGAAUGGG
rnacentral:rRNA from 1 species